GGGAAAUUUAAUGUGUAUCUUGUGUAUAUCUAUAUGCAACGGUUAAACAUUGCUAACGAAAAACGAUUUUGAGUGGAAUUCAGUUCUGCAUGUUUUAAAAGGCCGUUAAAAAAUAAUAAUAAACUUCAUUAUAAAACCAAUACAUUCCUCGCUACGCUCAGAAUCUAAAAUAACGGGGAACAUGAAUAUGUAGGUAUAAUUUUCUAUAGAAAUAUUUAACAAAAAAAUUAAAACAAACACACAUACAUUAUAUUACUGAUAGAUAUUACCCAUAGUGUACCUAUAUGUAAUGGUUUAUUUUUUAAAUAUAUAGGUAUUGAAUAUCAAC